rnacentral:rRNA from 1 species
GGGCCCGCACAAGCAGCGGAGCGUGUGGUUUAAUUCGAUGCAACACGAAAAACCUUACCAGGGUUUGACAUGCUAGAAGUAGGAACCCGAAAGGGGGACGAACUGUUGAGUCAGUAGCUAGCACAGGUGCUGCAUGGCUGUCGUCAGCUCGUGCCGUGAGGUGUAUGGUUAAGUCCUGCAACGAGCGCAACCCUCGUUGCUAGUUAAUUUCUCUAGCGAGACUGCCCCGCAAAACGGGGAGGAAGGUGGGGAUGACGUCAAGUCAGCAUGGCCCUUAUGUCCUGGGCAACACACACGCUACAAUGGGUGGUACAAUGGGUUGCGACAUGGCAACAUUUAGCUAAUCCCCAAAGCCACCCUCAGUUCAGAUUGCAGGCUGAAACUCGCCUGCAUGAAGUCGGAGUUGCUAGUAACCGCAUAUCAGAAUGGUGCGGUGAAUACGUUCUCGGGCCUU